rnacentral:rRNA from 1 species
UAGGGAAUCUUCGGCAAUGGGGGGAACCCUGACCGAGCAACGCCGCGUGAGUGAAGAAGGUUUUCGGAUUGUAAAGCUCUGUUGUUAAGGAAGAACGAGUGUGAGAAUGGAAAGUUCAUGCUGUGACGGUACUUAACCAGAAAGGGACGGCUAACUACGUGCCAGCAGCCGCGGUAAUACGUAGGUCCCGAGCGUUGUCCGGAUUUAUUGGGCGUAAAGCGAGCGCAGGCGGUUAGAAAAGUCUGAAGUGAAAGGCAGUGGCUCAACCAUUGUAGGCUUUGGAAACUGUUUAACUUGAGUGCAGAAGGGGAGAGUGGAAUUCCAUGUGUAGCGGUGAAAUGCGUAGAUAUAUGGAGGAACACCAGUGGCGAAGGCGACUCUCUAGUCUGUAACUGACGCUGAGGUUCGAAAGCGUGGGUAGCAAACAGG